AUGGGGUUUUGGGGUUACUGGUUUGUACUGGUCCAUACUGGUUUAUACUGGGACGGAUUGGGAGGGGAAAAAUGGGGAAAAAACGGUGAAAAUUGGGUGAAAAAUGGGUUUAAAAUGGGGAUUUUGGGGUUACUGGUUUAUACUGGUUUAUACUGGUUUAUACUGGUUGGGGAUUGGGGGUUACUGGUUUAUUCUGGUCCAUACUGGUUUGUACUGGUUUGUACUGGGAUUGGGAUGAACUGGGAUGAACUGGGAUGAACUGGGAUGAACUGGGAUGAGAUUUGGGGUCACUGGGAUGAACUGGGAGUGGAUUUUCCCUUACUGGUUUAUACUGGUUUCGUGUUUUCUCUUACUGGUUUCGUGUUUUCCC
rnacentral:lncRNA from 1 species